AUUGGAGCGGUAGUAAUUGAGCCAUUAAACAAUUCGAUAGUACUAUAACUAUGAUACAUUACAAAUGCUAGUGAAGAAGUUUGACUUUUACUAGAAGCAAUUUGUUAGCGGCUACUAUGAUAGUUUUUUCAUUAUCCUUUUUCAUUUUUUGCAUGGCUUAUUGCGCUUUCCUGUUCCCCUGUUAAUUUGCCAUCCCGUUUAUGAUGAGAAAAUACAUGCAAGUGUGUAGCAGUGCAAUUUCCCGCAAUUACACAAAUGGUCGCAUUAAUCGGAUACUGCAAAAUGGAAAUUUGAAUUGUUUAUUGGGAUCGCUUUUUGUUUCAACUUGUUUGUUUCAUCAGCGAUGUGGUGAUUGAACAACUAAAGCGUCAAGCAAAUGCGCCAUUUCUUCUUUUCUUUGCAGCAUAGCGCA